rnacentral:rRNA from 1 species
AGUGAACGCUGGCGGUAGGCCUAACACAUGCAAGUCGAACGGCAGCACAGUAAGAUCUUGCUCUUACGGGUGGCGAGUGGCGGACGGGUGAGGAAUACAUCGGAAUCUACUUUUUCGUGGGGAAUAACGUAGGGAAACUUACGCUAAUACCGCAUACUACCUACGGGUGAAAGCAGAGGAGCUUCGGACCUUUCGCGAUUGAAUGAGCCGAUGUCGGAUUAGCUAGUUGGCGGGGUAAGGUCCCACCAAGGCGACGAUCCGUAGCUGGUCUGAGAGGAUGAUCAGCCACACUGGAACUGAGACACGGUCCAGACUCCUACGGGAGGCAGCAGUGGGGAAUCUUGGACAAUGGGCGAAAGCCUGAUCCAGCCAUACCGCGUGGGUGAAGAAGGCCUUCGGGUUGUAAAGCCCUUUUGUUGGGAAAGAAAAGCAGCAGGUUAAUACCCCGCUGUUCUGACGGUACCCAAAGAAUAAGCACCGGCUAACUUCGUG